CCAACACUAUGCGGCCUUCUCUCACCUCAACCAACCCGCGGCCAUCCAGGUGGACUCCGGUUACAUCGUACAGUACGCAACCGAACAGAUCACCAGCCAAUUGAUGAUCGGUGUCGACGAACUGAACUCCUGCCCCGGCGUCCAAAUGAUCUGGCACGAGCUCAUCUCACCAUUCUGUAUCCGUCGUGACGCAA